rnacentral:rRNA from 1 species
GACGGAGGGGGCAAGCGUUGUCCGGAGUUACUGGGCGUAAAGCGCACGUAGGCGGUCUGGUGCGUCGGUGCUGAAAGCGCCGGGCUUAACCCGGCGAGGCGGGCCGAUACGACCAGACUCGAGGCAGGCAGAGGGUGGCGGAAUUCCGGGUGUAGUGGUGAAAUGCGUAGAGAUCCGGAGGAACGCCGGUGGUGAAGACGGCCACCUGGGCCUGACCUGACGCUGAGGUGCGAAAGCGUGGGGAGCGAACCGG